GUCUCUUAAUUGGAGUCUGGAAUGAAUGGUUGGAUGUAAAAUUUACUUUCUUUAUUUUAUAAAUAAAAUUUGAUUUCUAAAUUAAAAAGUUUAGAUAUUGAUAUAGGACGAGAAGACCCUAUAGAACUUUAUUGUUUUUUUGAAUAAAUAUUUUUGUAAAUUAUUUAUAUAUUUAUGAAUACAAUUUUGUUGGGGUGACAAAAAAAAUUUAAUAACUUUUUUUAUUUAUGUCAUUUAUUUAUGAUUUUUUGAUCCUAUAGUAUGGAUAUCAAGAUUAAGUUACCUUAGGGAUAACAGCGUUAUUAUUUUAGAGAGUUCAUAUUGAUAAAAUAGUUUGCGACCUCGAUGUUGGAUUAAAAUUAGUUUUAGGGGCAGAAAAUUAAUUACUAGGUCUGUUCGACCUUUGAAUUUUUACA
rnacentral:rRNA from 1 species